UACGGGGGGGGCAAGCGUUGUUCGGAAUUACUGGGCGUAAAGGGCUCGUAGGCGGCCAACUAAGUCAGACGUGAAAUCCCCAGGCUUAACCUGGGAACUGCGUCUGAUACUGGAUGGCUUGAAUUCGGGAGAGGGAUGCAGAAUUCCAGGUGUAGCGGUGAAAUGCGUAGAUAUUCGGAAGAACACCAGUGGCGAAGGCGACUCACUGGACACGUAUUGACGCUGAGGUGCGAAAGCGUGGGGAGCAAACAGG
rnacentral:rRNA from 1 species